GAUGGUGGUAACUUAUUAUUGAGGUGAAAUUCUUAAUAAGCAGGAAAUUCUUAAAUAAUUUAUAGGAGUUAAAAAAUUUAGAUGAAAAAACCAGGAUUAGAUACCCUGUUAUUCUAAAUAAUUGUGUAAGUUGGGUAGUAAAAGUUGUUCUUCAAACCCAAAGAUUUUGGCGGCAUCCUAUCCUAAUAGAGGAGCUUGCCCUAUAAUUGAUAAUCCUCAUUUUAUCUUACCUUCCCUUACUUAGCUUGUAUACCGCCGUUGUCAGAUUACUUUAAAAGAACGUUUUCAAGAAAAAUAUUUUUUUUACUUCAGGUCAAGGUGCAGUUUAUGGGGAGGCAGAGGUGAGCUACAAUUUUAAAUAAAAAAUACGAAUUUUGGGCUUUAAAAACCAACAGAAGGUGGAUUUAUUAGUAAAUUUAUUUAAGAAUAAUAAAUUGAAUGAGGCAAUGGGAUGUGCACAUAUCGCCCGUCACUCUCUUCUU
rnacentral:rRNA from 1 species